rnacentral:rRNA from 1 species
UACGGAGGGCGCAAGCGUUGUUCGGAAUUACUGGGCGUAAAGCGCGUGUAGGCGGCCAGGUAAGUCGGAAGUGAAAGCCCGGGGCCCAACCCCGGAACUGCACCCGAUACUGCCCGGCUGGAGUCCCGGAGAGGAUGGCGGAAUUUCCGGUGUAGAGGUGAAAUUCGUAGAUAUCGGAAGGAACACCAGUGGCGAAGGCGGCCAUCUGGACGGUGACCGACGCUGAGACGCGAAAGCGUGGGGAGCAAACAGG